UGGAUAGGUAUUUCACCCAUCAGCUAACCUACUGACAGCUCUUACAACGCCUGGAUAGGUAUUUCACCUAUCAGCUAACCUACUGACAGCUCUUACAACGCCUGGAUAGGUAUUUCACCUAUCAGCUAACCUACUGACAGCUCUUACAACGCCUGGAUAGGUAUUUCACCUAUCAGCUAACCUACUGACAGCACUUACAACGCCUGGAUAGGUAUUUCACCUAUCAGCUAACCAACCACAUAUUGUUAUAGCCUGGUGAGGAGGAGGAGCUCUGCAGACCGUGUCCUGAAGUAGUUUAGCCGCGCUCUGUAGAGUAGCUAUUUUCUCAAGUUUUCUCAAGGAACUUGUGACAUUCCUGGAUUACUCAUUAUAUUAAUGAAGUCUGAUUCAAUCAACAAAUACGAUUGUUUGUUUUAUUAACAACAACCAAAAGGUUACGGGUCCAAGACUGUACAUAUCUGGUGGCUGUGUUGGCAAAAAUCACUACAUAUCCCAUCGUGCCAAGUAGGGAGAGGCUGCCCGUUGUCACAGUUCCAAGACCAGUCAGAAACGUCCAGCUAAACCCCUACGUCAAUGACGUCGGUGGAUCUUUAAACUGAUCUUAGGUCUGCGUUAAGUAGCAAAAAAACAACAACAGAUGGCUCGAACCAGUCAUGACGAUUCAACAAAACAAUAAAUGCUUUUCAACUUUCUUUGUCUCUGAACUUACAAUAACUAGCCCCAAGUCGUUAUAUAUUUCAUUUAGCUAUUUGCCUCAUGACUCCUGCAUACUUUGUUGACUACAAACUUUCUUUACCCAACUGUGGGACAGGCUGUUUGUUCCCACACUCAGGACUCUGACUCUCUAUGGGUUACAGACUCUUGGCCUCCCAUCCUAUUCUAACCACCUCUCGCCAGUUUCGGUAUUCAUGUUACCUGAUGAAAUUGCUCUACAAUAUGUUGUUGCCAUCUGAUGCACAUUCAGAUGUCAUAAAUCUGCAUUGCAGAGCUCUCCCUGUCCUCUGCCGUGCCUUGAUUGUAUUACUGUUGAUGAUAUAUCUGGAAAUGUGCAUGUACAGCCUGGCCCCUCUACUGUUGCUAGCCACAAUUGGGCUCUGAUAUCUGCUUCACUGAUUUCUGCUCUCGUAAAAGCCUGGGUUAUCUGCACGUUAACACCAGAAGCUUAUUACCUACAAUGGAUCAAUUGAAAGUGUGGGUUCACAGCUCCAAACCAGAUGUGUUGGUCAUUACUGAGAUUUGGUUAAGGAAGAGUGUUUUGAAUACUGAUGUUAAUCUUUCUGGUUAUCACCUUUUUUGGCAAGAUAGAUCUUCCAAAGGUGGGGGAGUGCUCGGUUGUCUCCAAGUCUGUCCCCAAACAAUCUGAUUUGCUGGUUUUAAGCAUUAAACUUUCAAAUAGCU